CGGCCCGACAGGCGCGCUGAGGGCAGCCCGCGCCGAGGACCCCGCGCGGCGGCGGGAACGGGCGUGAGGGGAGGGCGGGGUACGGGCACCGCCGUGAGGGGAUGAGCUCCUCUGAGGGUGCUCUGCUACAAAACACACGCUCCCCGAGCCUCCACACCUGCCGAGUCCGCCCCUUGUCCUUCUGCUAAUGGUUGCUGCAGCUAAAUGUGACUGAGGACCGAGAUAACGACGCUCCUGCCUAUAAAAAUUGGUAACAGAGGAGAAAGGCCUUCCAAAACCUACAUUUCUUCUGGGAAAUGGCUCAUUAGGCCUGCCGUUAACUACAAGGAUAGAUUGAGACGCGAAUCAUAAGCUUUAUUUUCCCACCUUUAUUACAAAAACAUUUUAAAACAUGGCUAUCCUAUUCCUAAAAAUUGAAAAUGCAAACUUUCAGUUUGGACGUGCCAUCACUGCUGUUGGGGCAGGAACACAGCUCUCAGCAGACAAACACACCAGGCAGCAAAACAUCACCAGCACUGGGUUUCAGGUAACACUAAAAGUGUAUUGGUGCUGUGUGGUGGCUGGGACACGAGUUACGGUCAAUAAAACCUCAAUAAACUAAAAGUGGAUUUGUGUUCUUCCAGGAAUCAUCAGAACAGCUGCUUUUUACCAGUUUGUGUUUGAAUGCUCCUUCAGGAAGGCAGCCACAGACCCAGCUGUGUGGGAUCUGCCUGUGAAGGCACUUCAGGACAGCUCUGCAGAGACAGACUGCUAAAGAAACAGUCCAGCCCAGCACGGGGCACUCCGUGCAAGGAAGCCCAAGAGGGGUCCAAACGUGUUGUGUUCAGGAUACCGUAUUUUAAGAUGCACACUCCAGUUGCUAUCAAGCCAUUACCUUCCCUGUGACCCAGCGUUACUGAAUUUGUCCCCUGGUGUCUGACUCCCGGCAUGAGUCAGGGAGACAAAAUGGAGAGGUUUGGAAGGUGAGUCACAAUAAUUCAACUGCAGGGCUGGGGUUUAUCCUUUCAACACGCCCUAAGCAUGGCUUGUCCCAAUGGCAGUCUGGAGGUGAAGUAAACCACAGUAGUUUCCCGAACUUUUGAAUGGUUUAAUUCAGCCAGAUCAAGACCUGUCAUAUGCAGAUUUUUCUGAGCCCUUUUCCUCUAGAUACUCAAGAUUUGCUGGUCUGUUGAACCUCUUGCCCAAUUCUGGCUCUACUUUUUUAUAUGUACUCACACUGGCCUAUGUAUUUUAUAACACACACAAACAUAAUAAAAAAAUUGUUUAUUAAAGUAGUUACACUAUAAAUAUUAGUUAUUUUACAGAUAAAACAUCAAGUGGUUUUGUAUAGGGGUUGGGGUUUUUUUAUUUAAUUUUUAUUUUUUACCAAAAGUGAAGUACUUUCCUCCCAGUUUGAACAUAUUUUUUACUCAUUCACAUGAUCUUGAAAGUAU